AGUGAACGCUGGCGGUAGGCCUAACACAUGCAAGUCGAACGGCAGCACAGUAAGAGCUUGCUCUUACGGGUGGCGGGUGGCGGACGGGUGAGGAAUACAUCGGAAUCUACUUUUUCGUGGGGGAUAACGUAGGGAAACUUACGCUAAUACCGCAUACGACCUACGGGUGAAAGCAGGGGAUCUUCGGACCUUGCGCGAUUGAAUGAGCCGAUGUCGGAUUAGCUAGUUGGCGGGGUAAAGGCCCACCAAGGCGACGAUCCGUAGCUGGUCUGAGAGGAUGAUCAGCCACACUGGAACUGAGACACGGUCCAGACUCCUACGGGAGGCAGCAGUAGGGAAUAUUGGACAAUGGGCGCAAGCCUGAUCCAGCCAUACCGCGUGAGUGAAGAAGGCCUUCGGGUUGUAAAGCCCUUUUGUUGGGAAAGAAAAGCGGCAGGUUAAUACCCCGCUGUUCUGACGGUACCCAAAGAAUAAGCACCGGCUAACUUCGUG
rnacentral:rRNA from 1 species